UAGGGAAUCUUCGGCAAUGGACGAAAGUCUGACCGAGCAACGCCGCGUGAGUGAAGAAGGUUUUCGGAUCGUAAAACUCUGUUGUUAGAGAAGAACAAGGACGUUAGUAACUGAACGUCCCCUGACGGUAUCUAACCAGAAAGCCACGGCUAACUACGUGCCAGCAGCCGCGGUAAUACGUAGGUGGCAAGCGUUGUCCGGAUUUAUUGGGCGUAAAGCGAGCGCAGGCGGUUUCUUAAGACUGAUGUGAAAGCCCCCGGCUCAACCGGGGAGGGUCAUUGGAAACUGGGAGAGUUGAGUGCAGAAGAGGAGAGUGGAAUUCCAUGUGUAGCGGUGAAAUGCGUAGAUAUAUGGAGGAACACCAGUGGCGAAGGCGGCUCUCUGGUCUGUAACUGACGCUGAGGCUCGAAAGCGUGGGGAGCAAACAGG
rnacentral:rRNA from 1 species